rnacentral:rRNA from 1 species
CUGGAGGUAUCAGAAGUGCGAAUGCUGACAUAAGUAACGAUAAAGCGGGUGAAAAGCCCGCUCGCCGGAAGACCAAGGGUUCCUGUCCAACGUUAAUCGGGGCAGGGUGAGUCGACCCCUAAGGCGAGGCCGAAAGGCGUAGUCGAUGGGAAACAGGUUAAUAUUCCUGUACUUGGUGUUACUGCGAAGGGGGGACGGAGAAGGCUAUGUUGGCCGGGCGACGGUUGUCCCGGUUUAAGCGUGUAGGCUGGUUUUCCAGGCAAAUCCGGAAAAUCAAGGCUGAGGCGUGAUGACGAGGCACUACGGUGCUGAAGCAACAAAUGCCCUGCUUCCAGGAAAAGCCUCUAAGCAUCAGGUAACAUCAAAUCGUACCCCAAACCGACACAGGUGGUCAGGUAGAGAAUACCAAGGCGCUUGAGAGAACUCGGGUGAAGGAACUAGGCAAAAUGGUGCCGUAACUUCGGGAGAAGGCACGCUGAUAUGUAGGUGAAGUCCCUUGCGGAUGGAGCUGAAAUCAGUCGAAGAUACCAGCUGGCUGCAACUGUUUAUUAAAAACACAGCACUGUGCAAACACGAAAGUGGACGUAUACGGUGUGACGCCUGCCCGGUGCCGGAAGGUUAAUUGAUGGGGUUAGCGGUAACGCGAAGCUCUUGAUCGAAGCCCCGGUAAACGGCGGCCGUAACUAUAACGGUCCUAAGGUAGCGAAAUUCCUUGUCGGGUAAGUUCCGACCUGCACGAAUGGCGUAAUGAUGGCCAGGCUGUCUCCACCCGAGACUCAGUGAAAUUGAACUCGCUGUGAAGAUGCAGUGUACCCGCGGCAAGACGGAAAGACCCCGUGAACCUUUACUAUAGCUUGACACUGAACAUUGAGCCUUGAUGUGUAGGAUAGGUGGGAGGCUUUGAAGUGUGGACGCCAGUCUGCAUGGAGCCGGCCUUGAAAUACCACCCUUUAAUGUUUGAUGUUCUAACGUUGGCCCCUUACCGGGGUUGCGGACAGUGUCUGGUGGGUAGUUUGACUGGGGCGGUCUCCUCCUAAAGAGUAACGGAGGAGCACGAAGGUUGGCUAAUCCUGGUCGGACAUCAGGAGGUUAGUGCAAUGGCAUAAGCCAGCUUGACUGCGAGCGUGACGGCGCGAGCAGGUGCGAAAGCAGGUCAUAGUGAUCCGGUGGUUCUGAAUGGAAGGGCCAUCGCUCAACGGAUAAAAGGUACUCCGGGGAUAACAGGCUGAUACCGCCCAAGAGUUCAUAUCGACGGCGGUGUUUGGCACCUCGAUGUCGGCUCAUCACAUCCUGGGGCUGAAGUAGGUCCCAAGGGUAUGGCUGUUCGCCAUUUAAAGUGGUACGCGAGCUGGGUUUAGAACGUCGUGAGACAGUUCGGUCCCUAUCUGCCGUGGGCGCUGGAGAACUGAGGGGGGCUGCUCCUAGUACGAGAG